rnacentral:misc_RNA from 1 species
GAAAUGCGAUACGUAAUGUGAAUUGCAGAAUUCAGUGAAUCAUCAAAUCCUUGAACGCAUCUGGCGCUCGUGGGUCCUCCCGCGAGCAUGCCUGUUUGAGUAUCGUUUCCAAAUCCUCACCCCCACAAAGGGUGGAACGAUUCGAUUGGGAGUUGUGUCGCUCGUCGGCGCAUCUCUUGAAACCAAGCGGCUUGGAACGUGGUCUUUUCACAAAAAACUCGAUUACCAAACCAUCGGUUGCAUAUUGGGGAUGUUUCAUUACGACUUCAUUGGUGUCAACUCGGUUUUGGUUGUCGAUGUGCGAUGACUCGUGCCGUGCGGCGUGAUGUUGAAGCACGGGAGCGGCUUCGGUCGUUUUCGUCUUUUUCCAACUUCGAUCUCAAAUCAGGCAAGGCUACCC